GAGGCAAAAUCAACUAAAUCAUGCUCUGUCUGUGGAAAUUAAAAUCAAUGAUGUCUAACAAUAAAGGGAAGGUUUUGAAAACCCAAGAGAUGUGAAAGAAAAUAGAAGCAUAAUGCUUAAAAAAAAAAGGGAGAUAAAACAAGCAGAAUGGAGGAGACCCAAAAUAGGAAAACGGUGAGACAACGCAACAUUUUGGAGAGGGCUUUCUGUAAAUGAAUUUUUUUUUUGGGUGCAUCUUUACUUCCAUACAUGUUCACAUCUUACAGAGUUCAUUCAGGCUAAUUGAACCUAGAACAUUUUCAAAGGUUAUUUUGCUAAUUACUAUAUUCAGAGCUUCCCAUUAGCCAUGCAAGGCUAUGCCACUUUAGGCCAUUUGAUGUAUCUCAGCCUACUGGUAAAACUAGCAAUAAAAUUUACUUAACUGAUAGAGUCAUAUCAAAACCAGCAAUAUACUGCUAAUUGCAACAAUCCAAUUUAGAAGUGACAAAUCAGCUAAGGAAAAGUUAGCAUCAGUACAUGAUAGCAUUUAUGACCUUGUUCUGAAGGGCAAUGACAGAGCAUUUUGGUAAAAGAAUUAAUGUGACUUAGAUUAGGGUUACAAGUUGCUCUGGGAAUUACCUGUCAGCUAGAACUAGAAGAAAUGAUGUCUAUUUUACUGAAGUCCAGAGAUGUAAAAUUUGUUGCAGGUUGUGAAACUGUUUCCCUAGGUAUUUUUUAACUUGAAAAACAAACAUUUUUACAUUUUUACAUUAUUUAAAAAGCAUUUAAUUAUGUAGCCAGGUUCCCACCUUGUUUAAGAGGGCAAAACCCCUCCAAAAGCUCCUGCAUUAGCUCCAGUCUCAAAGGGUAACACAGGAGCAGAGUAUGUGGGGGUGGAAAAAAAAAAAAAAAGGAAAAAACAGAGAAUGUUUAACAUUCAGAAUUUGUCCACAGCUGAUAAUUUAUUGGAACUCAUCUGUAACAAGGUCUGGCACUGAUUUAUAAGUUGAUUUGAAAAAUAAAUAAAAGUGAUAGAAACCUGCAUUUGGUUUUAAUGAUAGACUGUUGCAGCAUGAAAAGUAAGGAUAUGAAACAUUGCAAGGAAAUUAGAUAUUAUGCCCUGAAGACAACUGCAGCUACCAGCCCAUUAAUUGUUAGAUAUUUAUUAUUAAAAAUUUCUUUUCAUGAGUGACUGCAGAAUAUUUGCGCUCUUAAAGUUGUUGAGUUCUGACAUGAAUGAAGCAUAUGAAGCUCAUUUUUUCUUCCCUCUCUGUGUGUCCGUGUGUGUGUUUGUGUUCGUGCAGCUGACAAGGUAGCUGACCCAAGAAUGUAAUAAAUCUUUCCUGCACAAACCAAACACACAAGUGCUGCUUCUGAAUUGAGACUGAACAGAAUAUUGAAUAAAGGAAAGAUGUUCCUUUUUGGCAGAACAGAAGAACUAACUCCGCUGUUUCAACAGGAGAUCCCAGAGAUAACAAGAUCCUGUUCUCUUCUGAAAUACCCUGUUACAUACUGGACUUCUGCCCAGAUCCGCUGGCAUUAAUGCUUGCUACUAAACAACUGUAUUUAAGUGGAGUUUAUACUCGGGUUCUCAACCAGUGAGAGGGCAUCUACCACAGCUGCCCAUGCUCAUGCAGAAUGCUGACAGUAAGGCAGCAAGCAGUGCAGCAACACCUCCAGUGUAUCUGCACAUCAGGUGCUGCUCUAGAGCAGCCAACAGCUUUGCAAGAUCUAAAUGUAGAAAAUAAAAAGCAACUUUGAACUCAUUCUGUAUUGAUAGUAUCAAUUUCUUCUACAAGUGUCUUGCAUUUGCUCACAGAGUCACACUCUUGUUUUGCACUGAGCAGCAGUUACCAAAUGAAGGCAUCUCUCCCCAUGGGACUGCACUCACUGUUCAGCCAGCACCACACUAUCAGGUGUAUUCAUCAUGGCUUUGCCAACUCCAGCAGUUACUGCAGCCAACUCGGAGACAUUCAUUUUAAGGGCAUUUAUUAACAAUUUGGUAACAGAAGAAAAAGUGGAAGAUAGACACAGACAGCAAGAUUUAAAAUCACAGAGUGACUGACAUUGGAAGGAACCUUUGGAGGUUACAUGGUUGAACCUCCCCUGCUCAACGCAAAACCACCCCCAGCCCCCCGCCAGGACCAUAUCCAGUUUUUGAGUAUACCCAAUGAUGGAGACUUAUCAACCUCUCUGAGCAAUCCAUGCCAGUGCUCAAUCACUUUCUUGACAGCAAGAAAGGAUUUCCUCCACGCAGAGGGAACAUCCUGUGUUUCAGUGUGUACCCACCGCCCCGGUGCUGUCACUGGGCACUGCUGACAAGAGCCUGGCUCCCCCAUCUUUGUGCCCUCCUCCCUUCAGUGUUUACACACACUGAUGGAAUUCCCCCCAACCUUCUCUUCUCCAGGAUGAAAAAUCCCAGCUCUCUCAGCCUUUCCUGAUGGUCAAAUCCAUCCUCUUCAUGUCACUUUGCUGGACUCUCUCCUCUAGCCUCAUUUCCCUCUUCUGCUGGAGAGCCCAGAACUGGACACAGCACUACAGGUGUAAUGAAAAUUACAAAAAUUUACACUUAAAACAUAGGUAAUAAAAAAAAAAGAAAAGAAAAAAGAGGAAAGUGAAAAAAAGAAGAGGAAGCAUAAAACUGAGAAAUCUAACAAAGAAAAUAUCAAAAUAACCAACAGUAGAAAAAAGCAAUACUUUACCAGCACACCUCAAAAAACCAGCACAGCAGCACAAUCCAGGUCUAGAGAAGUGUUAAGUCAGCCAAUAGUCUAAGCUGACUAUUUGUGCAUGAAUGUUCUUUAUUGCAAGCCUUUGCUUCUCUACCAGCGAAUGGCAAAGCAAAACAGACCCGACAAGGCAUCAUUAUGCUUUAUUCCUCAUGUGAAGACAAUUCCUCACAGUUUUCCCAUGGCAGCAGGUUUUGACUGGUAGCAAGGUGAACCAAUCACCUUAAUGUGAAGGAUAUUAUGCUUCUCCUAAAACUGCUAGUAUGUCUGGCUUGCUUCCACAGCAGUGCUCACAGAAAACAGAACAAAUCAACACAAAAAUAACAAAGCAAAAAAGCUUCACAUAAAAUGCAGAAAAACUGUUUUAUGGCUGUCUUAUUUUCCCUUUAAAUUAUACUUCUACAGAACAAGGAACAGAAACAAUUUAACACCUCUAAUGCUGGGGGUAAAAGAAGACUGGGCUUACAUUUGUACCAUUUUAUUUAAAGUACAGAUGGGCUCUGCUGGACUUGGGGCACAGAAUAACUUGAGGUUAGUAUUAACAUCUAUUCCUUGCUCAUUACAGACUUACCAAGGCAACUUUGGGCAAGAUAUCAUUUAUGCUACAACUCUGAAAUGGAGAUAGGACUUUUCUGCCUUAUAGGCAAGACUGAAAUUAAUCUCUAUAAACUUUCUGAACAGUCAGGAGUUUUAUAUUAAAUAUUAAAAUUAAUAUAAGGACUUUUAAACAGGUAAAAUGUAAAAGAAAACCCCUUCCACUAAGUAAUUCUGAGCUAUUAACUAAACCAUACAUAAAAUCCCUCCAGAAAAAAGUAUUAAUGCAUUUAAUUACUUCCUUAACUUGUGAAGUUUACUUAUUAUUUCCUGCCCUCCAGAGUAUACAUGCAAUUUUACACCUCUUUUCAGAACAGUAAACAACUCAAAAAGUUUCCAUGAUUGAACAAGCAGCAGUCAAACAUGAGAGAGGGGCUUGUUUGUGCCUGGGAGCAUGGGAGGCAGAAAGAAAAGAAACAAUUAAGACACACCAGGUUAGUGAGAAGGCACUUAUUAAAGAAAUAAAAAGAGCACUUGAAAUAAUUUAUUUCCUCUUCCUCUAGUCCUCACAGGCAGGCAAGGGAGAAGAGAGAUUUUCUUGGAAGAUGGAAUGAGGUCAAGGAGUUAACUCAUAUGUGCACUCCUCAAGACCUUUCCAAAAAUAAUUAGAAGUAUGAAAGAUUUUUUGAUGGAGAAAAAAAGAUUUAAAAUAAUCAUCUAGAUGGUUAUAAAUGAUAUGAAACAGAAAAUCUGAAACGUGACCAACCUGCAACAUUGUGAUGUAAGCCCUUAAAUGCAGGAAUACAAACCUGAAACAAUCCACAGUGCAUAAACAGAGCAUGUUGAAAAAGGAGUUUACAUCCAAAAGGAAGACAGACAAGGAAGUAAGGAAGACAAGUAGGAAUGACAAAGCCCACACCUUAGGUUAAAUGUUUGGCAAGUUCAAAGCACAGGAGUGGUAAAACAAGAUUAAGAAAAACAGUUUAAUGCAGGAUGAGGAAACACUGUAGGUUUGGAGGGCAAGGCAUUAGUUCUUCCACACUUGUAUUCACACAGGUACCAGUGUAAUUAGCAGUUCUGAUGAUACUGACACACGGAAGAAAUCCACUGCACAGUCAAUUACGUCAUUACUGAACUGUGCCAGACAAAUGCAAAAAUGUAAUAUGAAGGUAACAGCAAAUGCAUGCUGAUUUAGGAAAACACCUCCUCAGCUUUCCAAAGGAGGCAGAAACAAGUAUCACAGAGGUAGAUUGCUGACAUCAAUAGAGAUCCUCAUCAGACUUAAAUUUUACUGAGAAUUUCAAUGCUGUUAUAACUAACUUCUACACCAAAUUUUUUUUUUUUUUAUAGAGAGGAUAAAGUUGUGUAGCACAAGAAUAAGAAGCAACUAAUUCACAUUAUAUUUAACAAAUUUUAUCGUGAGAGAACUGAAUGUUUUUUUCCAUAGUUUCACCAUGACUACUGUAGAGCCCAGGAGACAGUAAGUAUAAAAUGCAGUAGUUAGUAUGACCAGCCUUCAACACUGGGAGAGGUUAACCAACAUCCCAAUAUAAGUGCUCUUACACAAAAAAUAAAUAAUUUACAGUUACUUUGUUGACAAGCCCUUAUUCAUAUUUCAUAGACAACACAAAACCAACAUACAUAUACAGUACAGAAGAUUCAACCCCAAAAUUUUGCAGUAAGAACACCUGCAGGUUUGUAAGGUUUUCUAACUUGCAUGCACUAUGAAGCUUAUUUAAAAAACCUCACACCACCACAAAGAGCAGUUCACUGAAAUUAAGGUUUUCUUCAUGAAGGCAUGAAACUGCACAGACCAUGAUGUGUAGCAAAUUAUGAACUACUCUCAGUUGUGUGUGCAUUUUCUUUAACACACGGACAUGUUGUUGAUUGGCAAGUACUAGACUCACACCUAUGAAAAUAAAGAGCUGACUCUUAAAUCUAUGCUAUUAACAGUAAACCUACAAUAUCCAUUUUUAUAUAAAAAUAAUUUUAAAGUACACCAGUAAAACAGAACAUACACUUCUACAGUUAAGAAAAUUAUUAAAAAAAUAAAUCAAAACUUCCCCUAAUGAUAGCUCAUUAACUCAGUCCUGUAUACAAUAGAAAAUAAAUUAAAAGAUGAACUAUUGUGAUUACUAUUCUCUUUGGAGAGAGGCAAUAGAGAUAAAACUGCAUUACAUAAACAGUUCUGAAACAUACAUACUGCAUUUGAAUUCUCAUCAGAAACUUUGUGAGUGACUUCUCAUCUAUUUAAAUAAAACAGAUGCCAAAUGAAUUAUAUUUACUAUGAUUUUCUGCAUAUAUUGUAGCUGUCACGUAAUUUGUUUUCCUGAAGGUUAAUAAAAUUUAGCAACAGGCAGUUUACAGAUGGCAGAACUAGGACUGUAAAAUUUCUUAACCUAGCUGGAAAGACCAACUUAAUUUAGUGAAAAGAAUGCAAGGGAAUGUAAGAGUUGAUAAAUAUUACAGGGAAAGAAGUGUAUCAAUCCCCUUGACUUGGUCAAAUGCAUUCUUACACAAAAUUUGAAACUGGAAUGCUUUGUCGUACCUUACCAUAAAAUUUUG